rnacentral:rRNA from 1 species
GACUAACGCUGGCGGCGUGCUUAAUACAUGCAAGUCAACGACUUUUAGAGUAGCAAUAUUUUAAAGGAAGUGGCGCACGGGUGAGUAACACGUAGGUAAUCUGCCUUCAGGACUGACACAACUCGUCGAAAGACGGGCUAAUAUCAGAUAAUGCAGCGGCUCCGCAUGGAGACAGUUGUUAAAGUACAAGCGCCUGAAGAUGAGCCUGCGGUCCAUUAGCUAGUUGGUAGAGUAACAGCCUACCAAGGCAACGAUGGAUAGCUGGUCUGAGAGGAUGAUCAGCCACACUGGAACUGAGACACGGUCCAGACUCCUACGGGAGGCAGCAGUAAGGAAUAUUGCUCAAUGGCCGAAAGGCUGAAGCAGCAACGCCGCGUGAAGGAUGAAUGGCCUUGG